GUUCAAGAUCCUGGCUCAGAUUGAACGCUGGCGGGAUGCUUUACACAUGCAAGUCGAACGCGUUACCGGACUUCUGUCCAGGGCGAGUGGCGAACGUGGGUGAGUAAUACAUUUGAACGCUCAUAGUAGUGGGGAUAACACGCGAAAAGCGUAGCUAAUACCGCAUACGCCCUUCUUCGGGGGGAAAGCGGGGGGAUUCCUGGGGCCUCGCACUGAAGAGAGCGGCUGAUAUCGGAUUAGCUAGUUGAGGUAACGGCUCACCAAGGCGACGAUCCGUAGCUGGUUUGAGAGGACGACCAGCCACACUGGGACUGAGACACGGCCCAGACUCCUACGGGAGGCAGCAGUGGGGAAUUUUGGACAAUGGGGAAACCCUGAUCCAGCCAUCAUCCCGCGUGUGCGAUGAAGGCCUUCGGGUUGUAAAGCACUUUGGGAAAGAAACGGCACGGAUAACUGUGCAACCUGAUUUCGGUACUCUGCAGAAUAAGCACCGGCUAACUACGCCAGCAGCCGCGGUAAUGGAAAAAGGCGUUAAUCGGAAUUACUGGGCGUAAAGCGUGCGCAGGCGGUUCGAAAGAAAGAUGUGAAAUCCCAGAGCUUAACUUUGGAACUGCAUUUCUUAACUACCGAGCUAGAGCGUGCUCAGAGAGGAGGUGGAAUUCGGCGCAGUGGUGAAAUGCGUAGAUAUGCGGAGGAACACCGAUGGCGAAGGCAGCCUCCUGGGAUAACACUGACGCUCAUGCACGAAAGCGCGGGAGCCAAAACAGGAUUAGAUGUUCCGGUAGUCCACGCCCUAAACGAUGUCAACUAGCUGCUGGGGCCUUUCGGGCCUUGGUAGCGCAGCUAACGCGCGUGUGAAGUUGACCGCCCGGGGAGUACGGUCGCAAGAUUAAAACCCAAAGGAAUUGACGGACCCGCACAAGCGGUGGAUGAUGUGGAUUAAUUCGAUGCAACGCGAAAACCUUACCUACCCUUGGGAUAUGUCUGAAUCCCGAAGAGAUUUGGGAGUGCUCGCAAGAGAACCGGAACACAGGUGCUGCAUGGCUGUCGUCAGCUGUGUCGUGAGAUGUUGGGUUAAGUCCCGCAACGAGCGCAACCCUUGUCAUUAGUUGCUACGAAAGGGCACUCUAAUGAGACUGCCGGUGACAAACCGAGGAAGGUGGGGAUGACGUCAAGUCCUCAUGGCCCUUAUGGGUAGGGCUUCAGAUGACGUCAUACAAUGGUCGGGACAGUGGUCGCCAACCCGCGAGGGGGAGCCAAUCCCAGAAACCCGAUCGUAUCCGAUCGCAGUCUGCAACUCGACGUGAAGUCGGAAUCGCUAGUAAUCGCGGAUCAGCAUGUCGCGGUGAAUACGUUCCCGGGUCUUGUACACACCGCCCGUCACACCAUGGGAGUGGGUUUUGGCCAGAAGUAGUUAGCCUAACCGUAAGGAGGGCGAUUACCACGGUAUAAAUUCAUGACUGGGGUGAAGUCGUAACAAGGUAA
rnacentral:rRNA from 1 species